UACGGAGGGUGCGAGCGUUUAUCGGAAUUACUGGGCGUAAAGCGCGCGUAGGCGGCUUGUUAAGUCGGAUGUGAAAUCCCCGGGCUCAACCUGGGAACUGCAUCCGAUACUGGCGAGCUAGAGUGCGAUAGAGGGGGGUAGAAUUCCUAGUGUAGCGGUGAAAUGCGUAGAUAUUAGGAGGAAUACCGGUGGCGAAGGCGGCUCUCUGGAACGCAACUGACGCUGAGACGCGAAAGCGUGGGGAGCAAACAGG
rnacentral:rRNA from 1 species